GACGAACGCUGGCGGCGUGCCUAAUACAUGCAAGUUGAGCGAUGAAGAUUGGUGCUUGCACCAAUUUGAAGAGCAGCGAACGGGUGAGUAACGCGUGGGGAAUCUGCCUUUGAGCGGGGGACAACAUUUGGAAACGAAUGCUAAUACCGCAUAACAACUUUAAACAUAAGUUUUAAGUUUGAAAGAUGCAAUUGCAUCACUCAAAGAUGAUCCCGCGUUGUAUUAGCUAGUUGGUGAGGUAAAGGCUCACCAAGGCGAUGAUACAUAGCCGACCUGAGAGGGUGAUCGGCCACAUUGGGACUGAGACACGGCCCAACCUCCUACGGGAGGCAGCAGUAGGGAAUCUUCGGCAAUGGACGAAAGUCUGACCGAGCAACGCCGCGUGAGUGAAGAAGGGUUUCGGAUCGUAAAACUCUGUUGGUAGAGAAGAACGUUGGUGAGAGUGGAAAGCUCAUCAAGUGACGGUAACUACCCAGAAAGGGACGGCUAACUACGUG
rnacentral:rRNA from 1 species